UACGAAGGGUGCUAGCGUUGCCCGGAAUCACUGGGCGUAAAGGGUGCGUAGGCGGGUCUUUAAGUCCGGGGUGAAAUCCCGGAGCUCAACUCCAGAACUGCCUUUGAUACUGAAGAUCUUGAGUUCGGGAGAGGUGAGUGGAACUGCGAGUGUAGAGGUGAAAUUCGUAGAUAUUCGCAAGAACACCAGUGGCGAAGGCGGCUCACUGGUCCGGUACUGACGCUGAUGUGCGAAAGCGUGGGGAGCAAACAGG
rnacentral:rRNA from 1 species